rnacentral:rRNA from 1 species
AGUGAACGCUGGCGGUAGGCCUAACACAUGCAAGUCGAACGGCAGCACAGUAAGAGCUUGCUCUUACGGGUGGCGAGUGGCGGACGGGUGAGGAAUACAUCGGAAUCUGCUUUUUCGUGGGGGAUAACGUAGGGAGACUUACGCUAAUACCGCAUACGACCUACGGGUGAAAGCAGGGGAUCUUCGGACCUUGCGCGAUUGAAUGAGCCGAUGUCGGAUUAGCUAGUUGGCGGGGUAAAGGCCCACCAAGGCGACGAUCCGUAGCUGGUCUGAGAGGAUGAGCAGCCACACUGGAACUGAGACACGGUCCAGACUCCUACGGGAGGCAGCAGUGGGGAAUAUUGGACAAUGGGCGCAAGCCUGAUCCAGCCAUACCGCGUGGGUGAAGAAGGCCUUCGGGUUGUAAAGCCCUUUUGUUGGGAAAGAAAAGCAGCAGGUUAAUACCCCGCUGUUCUGACGGUACCCAAAGAAUAAGCACCGGCUAACUUCGUG